rnacentral:rRNA from 1 species
ACGGGAGGCAGCAGUGGGGAAUAUUGGGCGAUGGGCGCAAGCCUGACCCAGCAACGCCGCGUGAAGGAUGAAGGUCUUCGGAUUGUAAACUUCUUUAAUCGGGGAAGAAAAAAAUGACCUCCCCGAAGAAUAAGCCACGUCUAACUACGUGCCAGCAGCCGCGGUAAUACGUGGGUGGCAAGCGUUAUCCGGAUUUACUGGGUGUAAAGGGCGUGUAGGCGGCCCUGCAAGUCAGAAGUGAAAUUCCCGGGCUCAACCUGGGCGCUGCUUAUGAAACUGCAGAACUUGAGUACUGGAGGGGAAAGUGGAAUUCCUAGUGUAGCGGUAAAAUGCGCAGAUAUUAGGAGGAACACCGGUGGCGAAGGCGGCUUUCUGGACAGUAACUGACGCUGAGGCGCGAAAGCGUGGGGAGCAAACAGGAUUAGAUACCCUGGUA